GACAUGGAUAAACUAAAAAAAAAUUGAAACAAAAUUUCUAUCCUUUAUGUUGUUCCCACUUCAAAAAAUAAUAAUAAUUCCUGGUGUCACAAGGCCAUUUCCUUCAAGACAUGGGUGCCUGUGACAAAUUACAAAAGAAGCUAUUCCUCUUUAGCCUCAUCUUUCUUUGUGCUACAUGCUUUUAAAACUCUCAACGCACAAAUGGGACAUUCAAGAAGGGAAAAAACUUGUUUCAGACAUCUGUGCAAUAAGGGACCAUCAAAUCGGCUGUCAUAACAAUUAUGUAUAAACUACUAGAAUUUUAACUGCCUCUCUGGCAUUACAAGCAUCAAACCUUUUAUUCCUUAUUUAGGACAUGGUGCCAGUGGAU
rnacentral:lncRNA from 1 species